AGCAGCUUCAGUGAUGGAUGCUUUGGUUCAAACAACGAUGAAGGGUGCAGUGAAAUGUAUUAGGCAUUGUGAAUUGCAGAAUUCCGUGAACCAAUGGGGCAUUGAACGUAUUCUAUGUUUUUGGGACAUUCCUGCAAGCAUGCUUGAAUCAG
rnacentral:rRNA from 1 species